AGAGACAGCAGUAGCCGCGGUAAAACGAAGGGGGCUAGCGUUACACGGAAUCACUGGGCGUAAAGGGUGCGUAGGCGGGUCUUUAAGUCAGGGGUGAAAUCCUGGAGCUCAACUCCAGAACUGCCUUUGAUACUGAAGAUCUUGAGUUCGGGAGAGGUGAGUGGAACUGCGAGUGUAGAGGUGAAAUUCGUAGGUAUUCGCAAGAACACCAGUGGCGAAGGCGGCUCACUGGCCCGAUACUGACGCUGAGGCACGAAAGCGUGGGGAGCAAACAGGAUUAGAUACCCCAGUAGUCCCUGUCUCUUAUAC
rnacentral:rRNA from 1 species